AUGCUCAUACAGUCCUAUAUGCUGUGUUUUCUACCUAGAUGCUUAUGUGGAACAAGGGUAUAAUCAGGGAAUUAACUUCAAAUGACUGUAAAUAGCAUCUGCAAAUAUUCAGUGCUUAAGUUACCUUCAGAAGUUGGUGCAAUUGUGAACAUAUUUUAUUUAGUAUAAAUCGUUUUGUUGCUACCUUA